rnacentral:lncRNA from 1 species
ACAGAUUGGCGGUCGGUGGUCGCUCUGACCGGUGGCUUAUUUCAGAAAUGACUGUUUCAAGCCACUUGAAUACAACCAAAGUGAAGCAUAAACAUUUUCAGGAUGUGGAGCGAAGGCAGUGGCAGUGCAGCAGUUUGCCUCUGUGAGGCCCAUGUCUGAACAGGGCUAAAGCAAGGGCGUCCUGCUGCGCCUCCGCUCAACGGUUUGGACUACCCAAGUAUCAGCAGAAACCAAGAAGGAAGCAAAUGGCAGCAGGUUCUUGAGGGUUGGACCAUUCGGCAUAGCUGGAAGCACUUGGGCCUGUUGUUUCCCAGCUAUAAAAGCCCCGCCUCUCUAGCUGACUCACUAGCUCUCUCUCUCUAACUUACUAUCAUCGCUGGUAUUCGGAGUAGUUGUGUUUUAACAUCCAACAUUUACUUUUCAUUAUACAUCACCACUCAUGCAUACAAACACUUUCACUACUGACGAUACUGACUAACACAUCUCAUCUUCUAUUUAGUUAUUUAGCUGGAUG